UCUUCGGAGCAACAUUCAUGCGUGAAGCGGGUCAGAGGAGGAAUCCAGCAGCCCUAAGCGAAGUUGAGUGUGUGCUCUUUUUCUAU
rfam:Streptococcus sp. FF10 genome assembly, contig: CONTIG000001